AGACAAUUGACUGAGAGGAUUAAGGUGAUAAGCUUGAAACUUAUUUGAUGAAAAUCAC
rnacentral:tRNA from 1 species